UUCUUCUCAGCAUAUACAUAUAUAAUAUAGCUAACCCAAUUUUUAGGGAUUGCCAUGUCACUAUUUUUAUUCAACGGAUAAGAUUGUUUUGUUUUCUGAUCCUACGGUUAAGAUUUAUUAUGAUGUCAUAAAUUUAUUAAAUUAAAAGGCACUUCUCUUUGCUUCCUUCCCCAAAUCUUCAAAUCGUGGCUUCUUUUUGUUUUGCCCUACCGAAUCCAGCGCAUCUCUUUGUAAAAAACCUGUUCAAUUGCCUCUUUUCAUACAUUUUAUAUCCGGGAUACAUUCACAGUUUAUAAUGGUCCAUGUUUUUUUUAUUUUCUCUUCUCAUCCAAAAAUUGAACAGGUACUUUAGUGGGAGAUAUGAGUAUUUUUUUUUUAUUUCCUCUUCUCAUCGAAAAACUGAACAGACUUGUAGAUUCUCGCUGAGGAGGAGGAGGUUAAUGACCACUUGAAACAUCUUCAGAAUAGUGAGGAAAGUUGUUCUUGGAGGAAGACGUGCCGGAAGGAUUUUAAAAUUGGGGGUUGCAACGAUUGGGAUGUUACCACGAACCCGCAUCACCAAAACUCUCACUAACAUACCACCUCCUGAGUCGUAAUUUUGAUUUCUUUAUUAUCUGAUUGUAUUUAUUUAUGGUAUUAGAACAGGUCUAAUUAUUUAAUACAGGUACCACCCGUGGAAGUCUAGUCCUAAUUUUAGUAACACAUUAUUUUGUCGUAGAAGGUAUGCAGCAGUGGAACUAAAAAAUUAUCUUUACAGGGGUCAAAGAUAAUAAUCAUGGGUCAAAGGAUGUAAACUUUGGUUAAUGGGAACCGCCAUUGGGUGCAUGCCGCUGAUAGAUUUAUCAUGGAGGGAGAGUUAGGGCAUGCAUGUAAUUGGAUCGGUGUUCAAACGAUGGACCGUCUCUGGUCCAUUACAAAUGACCACUAUGGUUCAUUUUUUUCAAAUGUUGAAUUUUAAUGUAUCAGAAGAAAUAACAAUAAAGCUGCGAAACAAUUAGGGAAAAGGAACAUUGU